AGCAGGCAAGUACAAGAUACUCGGGAAGAGUCGGCCACGCCCGAACGAAACGACCGAAUCCCCAGAAACGAAAAACUCACGUGAAACGAAACGAAGAGAGCUUUAGCAAGUCGAACUGAUCGGACGAAAACCGCUGCACCGAAACCCGCAAAGACUACGCUGGAGCUCCCUGCAUUUGGGCUACCGCGACUGCCAUCGCCAUCAUCUUUGUUUUCGUUGUCAUUGCUGGGCGCAAAUGGCCGGCGUGUGUGUUGUUAAUGUUUCUGUGCUACAAGUUUUGCAAAGUUUGGUUCGGAGGGAGUAUGGAACGCCGUUUUGUGGUCAACGUGGCCAGAGUGCCUCAAAAGUACUCCUGCCGCAUUCUGGUCACUGUUAUAAGUGUGAUGCCCUGACACCAUCAGCAGCUUUUAAGUAGAUUCAUGGCACAUGAGGAACCUGUGAUGUACACCAUCGCACACAGUCAAGAAAAAUGUAGCAUUUAACCUUGCUUUCCUUCAUUAUAACAAAAAAAAAAAAAAAGAAAGAAAGAAAGAAAGAACACUAGAGAAAGGGUCGGCAAAACAGUGAGUGUUUUGUUGUUGUUGUUUUUGAUUCUAUCGAUCUCUCACUGUCAGAUUGCACUGCCGAUCUGUUCACAAUCAUAACUAACUAAUACCUUAGCUUUGGCCAAUCUCAUGUUGCAAUUUUGCUUCAAACACAACAUUCAGUGAUUCUUAUGAAAACAGCAGCAUUUCUCGAAAGAUCCUGGAACGGCCACAAUCUCAAGAGGUAGUACGAUUCUACCCGUCGUCAUAUUUCGUCCGCCAAGCCAUUGCGCGGAGAUGUUGGCUCCAUGCCCAUUUCAACACAGGCUCACUCGCCCGCGCUCGCGCGUCGUCGCUUUGCCUUCAUGCCACCAGCCAGCGCUGCCUGUCGCGCAUGCGCUGUUCUUGUUGGGUUCGCUUUGGCUGCUGUAACGGUCGUUUCUCGUCGCCGCGUGUAGUUCGCGUAAUUGCGAGCGUUCCAGCAAGUCUAAAGCGUUUAAGAGGCUUUGUAUUGUUGUUCUCACCUGAUGCUGUCGUUCUUGCAACCCGUCUGAUAUUGCAACUGUCUGUAAGUGGAAGCGUUUCUUCUAACCGCGAGCAGACCAGUCGGUCUCGUUUGACAUGUCAAAGAGUGAAGACGCUGCCUUGCAUGUGAAGCCAAAUCGUUCUUCGCCUUCAGGAUUCUUGCCGUUUCAGGGAUCUGCACAACGACAGGGAGAUAGAACGCCAAGUGAAGUCUACUGUAUGCUUUGUGCAGACGGUUCAGCGUGUAUGACGCAGCGGCCUCCAGCAAGAGAAACUCAAGCACCGUGUUCAAAUGCGGUGGGGACUCUUGCUCGACAUAACAACGCUUAGAAGUGCUUUUUCGGAAGAAGGACAAGUUGGACCGGAAAUGAGGACCUAGGUGUGCUCUUUUGCGUUGUAGUUCACCGUUCGAUCAUUACCAAUUUUUGUGCCCCCGUGAGUUCAACGCUCAGGUAUGUUGAUGAUAAAUGGAUAUGCGUUAAAAGGUACGUACUCCGGAGUGGUGAAUUGUUGUGGUGAAGUGAUUUGUUGCUGCUAUCUCCUGUUUCGUGAGGGUUCUUGUCGGUACUCAUAUACCGCAGGCAUGAGGGGCUUUCUUUGCAGAACAUUUCAGUGAACCAAGACUGCAGCAUUUUCAAGAUUGCCAUAACGAGCAUCAAUGCAGCUCUCAUGUCAACAUCAGCAUCAAGACAGCUCUGAUGUGAGCAUCAGCCAGGGCAGCUCUGAUGUUAACAUCAUCAUCAGAGCAGCUGUGAUGUUAACAUCAGAUCUGAUGCGAUUUGGGACACUGUCUUGAUGCUAACAUCAGCUGGUGUUAACAUCAGCAUCAGAGCAGCUCUGUGUUAGCAUCAAGACAGUGUCCCAAAUCACAUCAGACCUGAUGUCGCUUUUUUUUUCAAUAGGGAUGCUUCUCCUUGACCAUGUUUUUUUUUUUUUGCUUAUUGACGUUUUUGUGAAGGAACGCUGGAUAUGUGCACACCAUUGACUGUCAGCUCUAGUCCCGGUCAGCUGUCAUUUUUUACAGUUCUCGUUGUAGUAAUUGCUAGUCAUUUGCACCAAAGGCGCUGGAUGUGAACUAUUUUCUCUUUCCUGGACUUGCAUUUCUCCCAGUCGUUGGCUUUGUCAUUUUUUCAUAAUUUAAAUUUUCUCUUGGUAACUCUUGAGUUUCGUAAUCCCUACACUGUGCAUUUUACCAUUUUUGAUAAAGCUCAUUCCACAUACCGUGCACAGACUAUUUUGUGCUGACGUGCAGCAAUUGUUCCGUUACGUCUGAUGUUACAUGCCAUUCAUUUUUGUGUCUGGGGUACUGAAGCGUGAGCAGAUAGGCAGACUGCCUAUUACUGCAUAACUUCGUUUUCUUUGAGACACCACCACUUGUGCAGGCAGACCGCCUCUUGCUGUAUGCUUUUUCUUUCUUUUGAGACACCGUUGACGUGCUAGUGGUUACGCAGGCAGGCUGCAUAUUACUGUAUACCAUUUCCCCCCAUGCAGCAAUUUUACCGUUACGUCUAAUAUUAAUGCUACAAGCCGUUCAUUUCUUUCUGGGCCACUACCGAAGUGCAAGUGGUUAGGCAGACUGCCUACUACUGUAUACCUUUUUUGGUUCCUUUCAGAGACACCUCUUACUGGGUACGUUUCCCCCCCCCCCCCCCCUUUUGAGACACCAUUGAAGGGCCAGUGGUUACGCAGGCAGGCUGGAUAUUACGGUAGACCAUUUCCACCCUUUUCUUUUCAGGCUACAUUGCCAAUGACAGUAGUUAUGCGGACAGGCUGCAUAUUUCUGUAUACCCCUCUUUUUUUGUUUUUCAUUUCAGACACAAUUGGCAUACAUUGGGUGAUGCAGGCAGACUGCUUAGUGUGCACCACUCGUCGUUUAGUCUAUUGAGGUGCUACAAGUGUUGUGUCAGUCUAUUUCCUCUCCGAAAAUAAAAUGUUGGGCUCUACACACA